rnacentral:rRNA from 1 species
GCUACGCCGUAUGGGGGAUGGUUCGGCUCGAGCGCCGAGGAAGGUCGUGCCAAGCUGCGAUAAGCGCCGGGUAGGUGCAAGGAGCCUUUGAUCCGGUGAUGGCCUAAUGGGACUUCCUAUUCUUCGGAAUGAUCAGUAAUGAUCGGGAACGCGGGGGAUUGAAGCAUCUUAGUACCCGCAGGAAAAGAAAUCAAUCGAGAUGCCGCCAGUAGAGGCGAUCGAACACGGCAAAGGGCAAACCGAAUCCCUUCAGAAAUGAAAGGGAGAUGUGGAGUUCGGACUCGUUUACUUCUUCGUCAGGUUAUCCAAAGUUGGCUGGAACGCCACACCAUAGAGGGUGAUAGUCCCCUAGGAGAAGCCUGAAAAGAAGAUUUUCGAUGUUCCAGAGUAAUGUGCGUUGGAUAUCGCGCAUGAAUUUGGGAGGCAUUCACUUCUAACCCUAAAUACGUCUCGAGACCGAUAGUGUAGUAGUAGCGUGAGCGAAAACUGAAAAGUACCCUUGACGGGAGGUUAAAAGAGCCUGAAACCAUACGGUAAUAGAUUUAUAUAGCAUGAAAGGGAAGAAACCAAUUUAUUGGUGGACCAGUGUUAUAUUGUCCGUUUAGAAAAACGGGCCAGGGAGUUCUGGUCAAUGGCGAGGUUAAGUGCGAAGGCACGAAGCCAAAGGGAAACCAAUAGCCCGCAGCUUUACAGCGAGGGGCAAGGUGUGCUCGCCUGGAGUCAUUGGUGCAGAUACCCGAAGCCGGUCGAUCUAUGCCUGGGCAGGUUGAAGCCUCUCGAAAGGGAGGUGGAGGACCGAACCGGUUCUGAUGUACAAAUCGUUCGGAUGACCUGGGUAUAGGGGUGAAAGGCCAAUCUAGGCCGGAAAUAGCUGGUUCCCCCCGAAACUACUCGCAGGUAGAUCUCAGCCGAGGCAGAUCAUGAGGUAGAGCACUGAUUAGGUGUUUAGGGGGAGAAAUCCCUCGGCAUCUUGUCAAACUCCGAACUUGUGAUCACCGUAGACGCUGGGAGUGAGGUUGCCCGGGGUAAGCUUGGUAACCAUGAGGGAAACAACCCAGACUGUAGUUAAGGUCCCUAAGUAUCGGCUAAGUGUAAUACGAAAUGGCGUCCGUAGUCUAAGACAACCGGGAGGUGGGCUUAGAAGCAGCCAUCCUUUAAAGAUAGCGUAACAGCUCACCGGUCGAGAUUAUGGGCCCAAAAAAUGGACGGGGCUAAGCCGGUCACCGAUACUACAGGACACCGCAAGGUGAUUCGGUAGGGGGGCGUCGUGCGUGGGUAGAAGUAGGGCCGUGAGGUCCUGUGGACCGCGUUCGAAUGAGGAUCCUGGUAAGAGUAGCAGCAUAGAACGGUGAGAAUCCGUUCCGCCGCAGGGGCAAGGGUUUCUUGGCAAUGUUCGUCAGCCAAGAGUUAGCCGAUCCUAAGGUAGUUCUUAAUCGAAACUAUCGAAAGGGAAGCAGGUUAAUAUUCCUGCGCCAGUACAAAUUUUGCCUGGUCUUGACACAUCGGGAUAGUUCAAGUAUGCUCGCCAGCAUAUUCAAGCACCGAAGCUCCUGGAGAACCGUAAUGGUGAGAAGGGAGUGAAUGUGUGAUGAGGCGGGCGAAGGCCCGCUUUGGAUGAUUCCUGGUGUCCGUGAAAAGAGAUACAGUUACACUUGUACUGUUCGUACCCAGAACCGACACAGGUGCCCCUAGGUGAAUAGCCUAAGGCGUGUUAGCGUAAUCCAGGCGAGGGAACUCGGCAAAUUAGCCCUGUAACUUCGGGAUAAGGGGUGCCAGCGAUGAAAAUAGCUGGUCGCAGUGACAAGGGAACUCCGACUGUUUAGUAAAAACAUAGGUCGCUGCUAGUUCGAAAGGAUGUGUAUAGCGGCUGAAGCCUGCCCAGUGACGGCAUCUGAAACUCUGUUUCAACGGAGCGAAGGACCGUUAAACGGCGGGGGUAACUAUGACCCUCUUAAGGUAGCGUAAUACCUUGCCGCUUAAUUGGCGGCUUGCAUGAAGGCCCAACGAGAGUUCCACUGUCCCCGCCUGGAAGCUAGUGAAAUUAAUAUUGUCUGGUGCACAAUCCAGACCCCUCCAUCUGAAAGCGAAGACCCCAUGGAGCUUUACUGCAACCUGUAGUUGUGGUAUGAGUCCGCAUGUGUAGGGUAGGCGGGAGUCGUUACCCAGGAAGUGACGCUAGUCACUCUCCGAGACGCCGAUGAAACACCGCCCUUGCGGAUUCGUAUCACUAACCUUCAAGGAGGAACAUCUAUAGGUGGGCAGUUUGGGUGGGGCGCCACGCCCUCAAAAAGAUAACAAGGGCGCCCAAAGGUCAGCUCAGGCAGGUCAGAAAUCUGCCGGAGAAUGCAAGGGUAAAAGCUGGCUUGACACGGAUCCAGACAAUAAGGAUCGGUGAUAGGAAACUACGGCCUAGCGAACCAAUCAACCUCCUGAAUGGGGGUGAUUGAUGACAGAAAAGUUACCCUGGGGAUAAUUGAGUUGUCACCAGCAAGAGUUCAUAUCGACCUGGUGGCUUGCUACUUCGCUGUCGGCUCUCCCUAUCCUGGUGGUGCAGCAGCUGCCAAGGGUGGGGUUGUUCGCCCAUUAAAAGGGAUCGUGAGCUGGGUUUAGACCGUCGUGAGACAGGUUUGUUGCUUUUUGAUGGAGGUGUUAGUGCCUGAUGAGAAGGACCUUUUAGUACGAGAGGAACAAAGGUUCGUCGCCUCUAGUUGAUCAGUUGUCUGGCAAGGCAUUGCUGAGCAGCCACGCGAUGUAUGGAUAAGCGCUGAAAGCAUCUAAGCACGAAGCCAUCUUAAAAAAGAGGCACUAAUGGGACGCUUGUAAAUGACAAGCUUGAUAGGAGUGGGAUGUAAGUAUCAAGGUUUGCGCCGAGGUAUUCAGUCCGCACUUACUAACGUCCCGUAAGCGUCGCUG